AGGUCUGGGAUCUAGUUGGUCCCCUCCGAGGGUCCCGCAUGUCUGCGCUGGGGGUUGGUCCCUCCAGUGUCGCUGCGAGUCUGGAAGAGGAAAGAGGCUCCACUGAUCCCGUUCUCCCUUCCAACUCGCCGUGGCGGCGGCUGCCGGCCAUGCCCGCCAAGUCUGCGCUCUCGAACGGCCGCAGGUGCCGAGUGGCCCACUCCCGAGCGGCAGCGACGCAGGGCUAGCUGACCCGUCCCAGCACCCAGCUCGGAGAGGGUCUUCGGCCCCAGCUCUGCAGUUGGCCGCUCCCGCGUCUGCCACCUCCAGGACCCAGAGCCGCCAAACCAGCCUCCCGGCAAGCCUUGACUUCCCGGAUGGGGCCAUGCUUUUCUUCUAGGACAAUCAGGGCUCCUCCCCUCCCGGCGAUCUUUCUAGGAGGCCACCUCCAGAGUUUUCGAGGCGAUUUCCUCCCUGCCGCCGUUACUAACUGGUAACUCUUCUCACCAGAAACAUAAGGGGAAACACAGCUGAAUAUUUAGCGAGGGACCACCACCACCGUAAAAACACACAGCUCAAUGUAAAGAAGCCAGUUUGACAUGAUUCUGGAUAUGUACAGCUGAGGGUGAGGGGCAAUGACUGGCAACUCCCAUCUCUUUGCAAAUAAGUGAUAUUCUCUGGAGGUUUCCCUGGAAAGGACGAGCAUGUUUGAGAGAGAUGGUGUGCCAGCAAGAGCUCUGGAGUCACCAUGUUAUACUGAAUUCAGCAGUGUGACAAAAAGUGGCGUCAACAGACUUGACUAUGUGACUGGCUUGGAACAGUGUCCUUAGCCUCAGGGUUUUGGACUUCUCUCUGACUUUAGAUGUGUAAACCUUUACAAGGUGUCUGCACAAACAAGUCACAUGGACACAUGGAGAGAUGGCAGUCACCUAUAAGCCAAAAGAGGCAUCAGAAUGAAACUUGCCAGCACCCGCUCUCAGACUUCCAGCUUCCGAACUAUGAGAAAUAAAUUGAUGUUGUAUAAGCCA